rnacentral:rRNA from 1 species
UCGAGGAUCUUCGGCAAUGGGCGCAAGCCUGACCGAGCGACGCCGCGUGCGCGACGAAGGCCUUCGGGUUGUAAAGCGCUGUCGAGGGGGCGGAAGGGCAACUUGACUGCCCCCUGGAGGAAGCACGGGCUAAGUUCGUGCCAGCAGCCGCGGUAAGACGAACCGUGCGAACGUUGUUCGGAAUCACUGGGCUUAAAGGGCGCGUAGGCGGGUUUCCCAGUCCGUGGUGAAAUCCCCCGGCUCAACCGGGGAAUGGCCGUGGAUACUGGAAGUCUUGAGGGGGGUAGGGGCACGCGGAACGCCGGGUGGAGCGGUGAAAUGCGUUGAUAUCCGGCGGAACUCCGGUGGCGAAAGCGGCGUGCUGGGCCCUCUCUGACGCUGAGGCGCGAAAGCCAGGGGAGCAAACGGGAUUAGAUACCCCCGUAGUCC